AAAAAAACAUAUUAGGUGUUCUUAAAUCAGGAGCACUGAGAAGCUUCCUUGUUUCAGGUUCCAACUGUGCACUUAAAUGACACCCCAACACACAGUCACCUAGUCUCAGGCCUCAGUCCAUUUGCUCUGUCUCAUAUAUGGUUGAUUUGUUAGGGAAUCGAUGAACACGAUUCACAGAGAUCAGCAAGAGGCCCUAAUUGCCCUGAGCUGCCUCACCUGUGCUCCCCAUCCACACACCCUCUGCCCACAGGCCCUAGGCACCAUUUAAGCUCAGACCCUGAGCACUUCUCCUGUCUGAGUUGUAGUGUGGGUGGUUUUAUCUCUAAUCUGCUGCUGCUCAUGGCUGGAGCCUGUGUGUAGUCUAUUUUUCUUGUCAGAGACCCUGUUAUGAACCCAGAUAUGUGGGAUAGUGCUACAGUGAAGGUCCUCAGUUCCUGGGUCCUUUGGAAAUAGCUGGCCCUUGCUGCACCCUUGCAAAGACAAGCUGGCAAACGACUAUAGGAACAGGCUGUUAGCUACUGCAGAUGUGGACUAUCUGACUGCCCACCACAAAGUCAAGGAAAUUCAGGUAAGUGAGAUGCAUCCAGUAACAAACAGGAGAAGGGAGGAGAUGACAGAGAAAGAAGAAUACACAAGGAUGUAACUAAAAGAAAGGAGGUCAGAGAAGACAAUAAGUACCUAUACUCCAGGGACAAGGAAAGGAUGAGAAGACCCAUUAAAUGUGUUGUGUUGUGAGUGUACAAUCUCCAGUCUUUCUCUGCAGUUUGUAUUUGCAGAAGUAUUUUGUAAUAUUAUGACAAGUCCUGCAGGAAAUGAGUUAACAAUUACUUUUCUCUCUGAAAAUCUGCCAAAAAGAUUGAAAGCAAAAAGGUGAAGUUCAGUAUUGAUAACUGGUAGUGGUAGGUUUUGGAACUGGAAUUUUGGAACUUUCCUCAGCAUUUAAGUGUUUCUCAUUGUAGGAAGAAGUAUCUGUGAUUUGAAGGCCUUUUCUUUUCUUUUUUUAAUUUUUGUAGGUUUAAAUACCCUAAAGAGAGCCUAACAUAAAGGGGCAUGUUGGUGUUCACAGCUGAUUAGGAGCAGAUGCUUGAGAAUUGUAAUGAACUAUAUUUAGCAAGCAAUUAUGCCAGGCAGGCUGUCAAAACUCGUGCCUUGUCUUUCUCCUAGAAACCAAGAAAAAACUCAGAAUCCGACCUCUAACUUGUGUUAGCACCUGGGUCAGCCCACUAUCUCCAAAACAGCCUCUCCUGUAUGCAGCCUCACCUUCUGUGCUGGAAACUUGCAUAAGGGCUGGGUUGUUAUGAUUCUACAUACCUAAUCUUAACAGAAAUGAUGGGAGUUUGCAGGAGAACUCAAUCUGGCUACAGUUUUAAACUAUUAUUUAUGUGACUUUGUACCAAAACUGCAAAGCAGUAAGGUGACCAGCUGACCUGAGCAGCUUAGAGCCAAGUCUGUUCUGAUGCUAACUUGCAAGAACAUUAGUUGUAAAGCAGUCCAAGCCCUGGCUCAGUGUGACUGGUGAGAUGCAAACAUUGAUAGCUCAGUAGAAAAGCUUCAGAAGUAUACUUGAAGCAUAUGCAAACCUUAGAAGUGUUUCUUAAAUGGAGAUUAGGCUACAGUGGUAUUUGUGAAUAUAGCUUUCAAUU
ensembl:lncRNA